AUUGAACGCUGGCGGCAGGCCUAACACAUGCAAGUCGAGCGAGCGGCGGACGGGUGAGUAAUGUCUGGGAAACAGCCUGAUGGAGGGGGAUAACUACUGGAAACGGUAGCGCAUACAGCAUACCAUCAGAUGUGCCCAGAUGGGAUUAGCUAGUAGGGGGGGUAAUGGCUAACCUAGGCCACGCUCCCUAGAGGGUCUGAGAGGAUGACCAGCCACACUGGAACUGAGACACGGUCCAGACUCCGACGGUAGGCAGCAGUGGGGAAUAUUGCACAAUGGGCGCAAGCCUGAUGCAGCCAUGCCGCGUGUGUGAAGAAGGCCUUCGGGUUGUAAAGCACUUUCAGCGGGGAGGCGUUACCCGCAGAAGAAGCACCGGCUAACUCCGUGCCAGCAGCCGCGGUAAUAC
rnacentral:rRNA from 1 species